rnacentral:rRNA from 1 species
ACUCAAAGGAAUUGACGGGGACCCGCACAAGCAGCGGAGCAUGUGGUUUAAUUCGAAGCAACGCGAAAAACCUUACCAAAACUUGACAUCAAGUGCAAUCUGUGGAAACACAGACCUCCUUCGGGACACGAAGACAGGUGGUGCAUGGUUGUCGUCAGCUCGUGUCGUGAGAUGUUCGGUUAAGUCCGGCAACGAGCGCAACCCCUAUGGUCAGUUGCCAUCAUUAAGUUGGGAACUCUGGCCAGACUGCCCGUGAUAAGCGGGAGGAAGGCGGGGAUGACGUCAAAUCAUCAUGCCCCUUACGUUUUGGGCUACACACGUGCUACAAUGGGCGCUACAAAGAGCUGCAAGCUGGUAACAGUAAGCGAAUCUCAAAAAAGCGUUCUCAGUUCAGAUUGAGGGCUGCAACCCGCCCUCAUGAAGCAGGAGUUGCUAGUAAUCCCGAAUCAGCAUGUCGGGGUGAAUGCGUUCCCGGGUCUUGUACACACCGCCCGU